rnacentral:rRNA from 1 species
AUUGAACGCUGGCGGCAGGCUUAACACAUGCAAGUCGAGCGGGGUGAUGGUGCUUGCACUAUCACUUAGCGGCGGACGGGUGAGUAAUGCUUAGGAAUCUGCCUAUUAGUGGGGGACAACAUCUCGAAAGGGAUGCUAAUACCGCAUACGUCCUACGGGAGAAAGCAGGGGAUCACUUGUGACCUUGCGCUAAUAGAUGAGCCUAAGUCGGAUUAGCUAGUUGGUGGGGUAGAGGCCUACCAAGGCGACGAUCUGUAGCGGGUCUGAGAGGAUGAUCCGCCACACUGGGACUGAGACAAGGCCCAGACUCCUACGGGAGGCAGCAGUGGGGAAUAUUGGACAAUGGGGGGAACCCUGAUCCAGCCAUGCCGCGUGUGUGAAGAAGGCCUUAUGGUUGUAAAGCACUUUAAGCGAGGAGGAGGCUCUUUUGGUUAAUACCCAAGAUGAGUGACGUUACUCGCAGAAUAAGCACCGGCUAACUCUGUGCCAGCAGCCGCGGUAA